rnacentral:rRNA from 1 species
UACGUAGGGACCAAGCGUUGUUCGGAUUUACUGGGCGUAAAGGGCGCGUAGGCGGCAAUUCAAGUCAUCUGUGAAAUCUCCGGGCUUAACUCGGAACGGUUAGAUGAUACUGCUUUGCUAGAGUGCGGAAGGGGCAAUCGGAAUUCUCGGUGUAGCGGUGAAAUGCGUAGAUAUCGAGAGGAACACCUGAGGUGAAGACGGGUUGCUGGGCCGACACUGACGCUGACAGCGCGAAAGCCAGGGGAGCAAACGGG